AGGAAGAGACUUAGCAGCAUGCUAAUGUAGCCAUGAGCUUUAUGGUUAUUUAUUUUUCCAAUUCUACAGCGGAUUCUCCGGUGAAUAUUAAUAGACGAAACGAAGAAGACGAACCAAAUGACCACACCGGACACAGCCAAAAACGUUCUUUGGACUGAUGUGGACCGGUCCCUUCCUGCCAAGCACAGAAAAAUUGAAUUAGUUCUGAUGUAACGUGGGCUUCUCCAGUAAACCCCUCACCCUCCGUGGAGCAGAUCCAAAUCCAGCAUUUUUCAAAUGAAGCGGGGCGAAGAUAAGAGUCUUCCAGGGGUCAGGCUGACCUGUGCUGAGACGAACUACACUUUGACUGGCUUACACAGCAUAAGGUCAACUGAUCCAUGGCCUUAACUUGAGUACAGACAACCUUUGACCAUCCUCAAGCCCUCUGGCACGGACAACGCUAAAAUUACCGAUAUUCCAGGAACAUGCAAAGGUCUCUAGGACUCAGUGUUUGACAAAUCUCACGCAGAGGGUGAUUACACAUAGAUCAAUUAUGACUAAUGAAAUGACUUCAUUUCUGGUAACAAAAAACAAAACAAAAAAAAACAUUAUCACAUCAUAUGCUUCUAGUCAUCCCAGACUGAAGCAGAUGUUCUUAAAUGUUAAUCUGUGCAUUUUAAUGGGGACAUCGUAACAUUUUCAUCAUGUAAAAUUGGCAGUGGCCAUAUGUUUUCAUGAUUAAAAAGAAAGAGAAUGUACUGUAUUAGAGAAAAUGUUUCAUAAAAUGUAUUAAUGUUUUGUUGACACUGGGGCUCUGGUUGGAUGGGAAGAGCUAGAGCAAAGCCCAGGUUAAUUGAAUUGCUUGGGUGAUGGUGUUGGGGAUUGAGAUGACUCUACCUAGAUUAAUCUGUGUCGUCGUGAUGGUGGGAUGCAGGGACGUCUCGGGCCCCCUCCAAUAACAAGAGGAUGGGGGUCAUGAGGGGGCACACCCAAUCUGGCUAGACGAUGUCAUCACUGGAUCCCCUGUAAUCCUCUUUUCCUGCGCGCCACGAUGGUCAUGUGACCUUAUCAUAACAUAGACUGUAAGUCUCAAGGAGAUGGAAUUGGAGGGGGGGGGGGGGCUAGCUUUGGCUGAUUUUGUUACGGUUUUGUAAACAAACUGAAAAACAAUGAAGGAAGAACCAACUGA